rnacentral:tRNA from 1 species
GGGGCCAUAGUUAAGAAUAACAUUUGAAUUGCAUCCAAAAAGUACUAUUACAUAUAGUUAGCCUCG